CCUAGGAUCACCAUGACACCCCAGUUAUGUUCAGCCCUGUACACUGACAGUCUGACCCUCAAUCAUUACCCUCACAUCCUGACCUCAAACUUUCCAAUUUCUCAUCCAGCACAUAAAUAAUUCACAAAGCAAUUUCUACAAGGCCAUGGCAGUGUGACAUAGAAAUCAAUGAUGCCCAGGCACAAGGACAGACCGUUUUACAACUCACAGACCCAUCAGAUGGUUACAUCAUUCUUCCGGUUGUUGAGUAUUUUCCCUGAUGUCACUGCCAAGUUGCUGGGUUCAUUCAUCAGGAAACAGAGGCAAUGAUAUGGAGGCCCAUGAUGAUCAGAGAGAGGGAUGCAGGGACAAGUACUGCCAAGCAGGAAAGUCUUGGACAUGACAAUGAGCCACAAGCAGGAACUGGGCACGUGUGAUGCUGAGAGUGGAAGGGGAGACCAGGACAAGGGUACCUGGAGCAGAAAGCACUGUAGAAUUUUAAGCUGGCUACACUUCACCCUGCGGUUAUCAAAUGAUGAAGAACUCUCUGGAGCAGCAAAGCGUGGCUAAGUAUGCAACAGCCUCAUUUGCUGAGUGACAUUUAGCCACGGGGGAUGCUCCGUGGGUGUGGCUGAUACAGUACUAAAGCUUGCUCAGUUGACCUGGGCAGGAGCACAGGCUGGAAUCUCUGCUGAGGACAGACACUCUCUGUUCCCAAGGCAGAACUUGAUCUCUGGAGGCUCUGAGGGAAAGACUAUUGCAGAACUGCCAGAAAACAUAAUAAUUGCUGUGAUUAUGAUUAUGAGCGCCUUAUAAUUGCUGCUCCAUCAUGCCAACUAUCUUGGGAAGAGAAGAGGAAGGCUUUAUGAAUAAAUGAUCACUUAAAUAUUUAAACA
rnacentral:lncRNA from 1 species